GUGCACUCUUCCCCAGCAUGCCCUGCACAUCACAGACGAACCGGUAGACGUAGCGCUUGCCGGCGGUUUUGUGGAUGAUGUUCUUGUGGUAGUAGUAGCGCAGGCCUCGGCUCAGCUUCUCGUAGUUCAUCUUGGGUUUGUUCUUGCACUGACCCCAUCGUUUAGCCACCUGAGCACCAGACAAACCAGACAGUGAGAUUUCAAAUGUAUAGUUAAUUGUACACUUUGUGUGGGCUACUAUUUAUUCGUUUAGCUACUCAUGGGGACAAAAGCUAAGCUACAGUAGCGUAUUUUCAGCCAGACACCAUUCAGCAGAAUUCUCAUGACCCUUGUUGGACUACGGAUGGUCAACAUCCAAAUCUGGGUCAGACAUCUUGAAUUCCCAGCCGUCUCCAGUCCAGCUGAUGAAAGUGUGGCACGCUGAGUCCAAAAGAAGCUCCAGCAGAAACUGCCACAGCUGGAUCGGCCCUGAUCCUGUAAACAGAUGAAAAAGAAUCCCUUGAUACAGAUUCAGACUAUGCGAGGUGUGACGGAUCUUACCUGGAUAGGCCGACAUCCCCGGCGAGACCUCGCCCUCUCUCUCUGAUCUCUGAGAUGAUGCCGGGCGUCUUUU